GACGAACGCUGGCGGCGUGCCUAAUACAUGCAAGUCGAACGCUUCUUUCCUCCCGAGUGCUUGCACUCAAUUGGAAAGAGGAGUGGCGGACGGGUGAGUAACACGUGGGUAACCUACCCAUCAGAGGGGGAUAACACUUGGAAACAGGUGCUAAUACCGCAUAACAGUUUAUGCCGCAUGGCAUAAGAGUGAAAGGCGCUUUCGGGUGUCGCUGAUGGAUGGACCCGCGGUGCAUUAGCUAGUUGGUGAGGUAACGGCUCACCAAGGCCACGAUGCAUAGCCGACCUGAUAGGGUGAUCGGCCACACUGGGACUGAGACACGGCCCAGACUCCUACGGGAGGCAGCAGUAGGGAAUCUUCGGCAAUGGACGAAAGUCUGACCGAGCAACGCCGCGUGAGUGAAGAAGGUUUUCGGAUCGUAAAACUCUGUUGUUAGAGAAGAACAAGGACGUUAGUAACUGAACGUCCCCUGACGGUAUCUAACCAGAAAGCCACGGCUAACUACGUG
rnacentral:rRNA from 1 species